rnacentral:rRNA from 1 species
CUAGGAACUGCAUCCAAAACUAACUCACUAGAGUACGAUAGAGGGAGGUAGAAAUUCAUAGUGUAGCGGUGGAAUGCGUAGAUAUUAUGAAGAAUACCAGUGGCGAAGGCGGCCUCCUGGAUCUGUACUGACACUGAGGUGCGAAAGCGUGGGUAGCGAACAGGAUUAGAUACCCUGGUAGUCCACGCCGUAAACGAUGACAACUAGCUGUUAGGAGACUAUGUCUUUUAGUGGCGCAGCUAACGUUUUAAGUUGUCCGCCUGGGGAGUACGGCCGCAAGGCUAAAACUCAAAUGAAUUGACGGGGACCCGCACAAGCAGUGGAUCAUGUGGUUUAAUUCGAUGCAACGCGAAAAACCUUACCUACUCUUGACAUACUUGGAAGCUCUUGUAAUGAGAGUGUGCUUUUAAGAACCAAGAUACAGGUGCUGCAUGGCUGUCGUCAGCUCGUGUCGUGAGAUGUUCCGUUAAGUCGGAUAACGAGCGCAACCCUUACCCUUAUUUGCCAGCGAUUCGGUCGGGAACUAUAAGGGGACUGCCGGUGAUAAACCGGAGGAAGGUGAGGACGACGUCAAGUCAUCAUGGCCCUUACGAGUAGGGCUACACACGUGAUACAAUGGGAGAGACAGACGGACGCUAAGCCGCGAGGUGGUGCUAAUCCUAGAAACUCUCUCGUAGUCCGGAUUGGAGUCUGCAACUCGACUCCAUGAAGUUGGAAUUGCUAGUAAUCGCGGAUCAGCAUGCCGCGGUGAAUACGUUCUCGGGUCUUGUACACACCGCCCGUCACACCAUGGAAGUGGAUUGCACCAGAAGUAGAUAGUCUAACCUUAGGGAAGGCGUUUACCACGGUGUGCUUCAUGACUGGGGUGAAGUCGUAACAAGGUAACCAA